rnacentral:rRNA from 1 species
CAGCCGCCGCGGUAAUACAGAGGGUGCGAGCGUUAAUCGGAUUUACUGGGCGUAAAGCGUGCGUAGGCGGCUUCUUAAGUCGGAUGUGAAAUCCCUGAGCUUAACUUAGGAAUUGCAUUCGAUACUGGGAAGCUAGAGUAUGGGAGAGGAUGGUAGAAUUCCAGGUGUAGCAGUGAAAUGCGUAGAGAUCUGGAGGAAUACCGAUGGCGAAGGCAGCCAUCUGGCCUAAUACUGACGCUGAGGUACGAAAGCAUGGGGAGCAAACAGGAUUAGAUACCCCCGUAGUCCCUGUCUCUUAUAC